GACUUAAUGAAAUCUUUUGUUGACUCCUAAAGCAUAGCAGAAGCAGGACUAGUCCACGGCAUGUGCCGCUGCGUGCAGAGCAUAUUCAGAAGGCCUCGGAAUUCCAUUUCUCCGCGUGUAGAGUUAAACUUUGAAUGUGCCAAACUUUUUCAUAACUUUUGAAUCUUAAUAUUUUGAAAGUCUUAAAGGAGAUACUGCAAAGUCUUAGACAAUCUUUGGCAUCUUAAAAUAAAAUAGCAAACCACACUUUUUUUUUUCCAGAAAAUGGUAAAGUACUCAGGAAUCUGGAGACAAGAUAUUGUAAGGAAUGAACAAGGUUGCCACAGUGCAUGUACCCAAUUGUGUUUGCCUCUUGACGUGCCAUCAGUGCGUGACGUGGUAUGACAUACACACACCAGAGCCAUCACCACACCAGAUACCGAAUUGGUGGUCUUCUCUGCCCAAGACCACCUCUCACUACAUCCAUUAUCCCUUUGCCUUUAACCCUGACAUUCAGUCUUAACACAUUUUCUCUUAAAUAAUUUAUUCAUUCCAGAAUGUCAAGGGUCCAUUUACUAUUUAUUUUAAAAAAAAUGUUGGUGGCAUUAAUUUAAUAAUUCUUGUUUUUCACCCUCCUUCCCUGAAGAACUUUUUAGCCCUUUUCAUCUCCUUCUCCUGCUAGAUACAAAAGAUGUACAUAUUGAUUUUAUGUCCCCAGAGCAUCUGGAAGCAUUUCUGAAACAAGAUACUAUUAAAUACCUAUCUUUAUUGUUUUUAAAGAUGAUUGUAUAUCUGGCUACAGGGCUGUAUAUUUGGGUCUAGGUGUAUACUCUUACACUUAACAGGUAUGCAGGUAUGCCCCUGAGGUUCGCUGUGACCUUGAGUCUUUUGCCAGAGUUUCCCCCAGUUCAGUUUGCAACAAGCGGUAGGAUCUGCAUUGGCAGCAUUUCCUCUGAAUUCCAUUCAGCAGUAAGAGUCAACAGUGGUGGCUGCCAGGUGGGAAAGCAGCAGAAUCCUGCAGCCAGACCUGAAGCCCAAGGCUUGUGGGCCAUGUAGAGUAUACAGUGCCACUAUCAUGGGCUGGCACCUUUACACUGAGUUGCCUAGCUGGCAUAUCCAGGGAAUUCUUUGCAAGUUCCAGGAUGAAGGAAGCCAGAUGACAUUCUCAAAGCAAAGAUAGAGGCAAAUAGUCAUGGAACAUUCAGAGAACGAAAGAAAACCAUAGGGAAGGAGAAGGGGGGGAAUACAUUCCCUGUAUGGCAUGUUCCUACUGUCAAUUCUGGGGAACAGAUAGCUCAUGAGACAGCAAACCUUUGGCUGACUCCCUGUAUCUACGUCUAUAAGAUGAACUGCACUUGUCACUCAAGGAGAGCUCUGGAGAUGUGCUGCUGGGCUUGGAGGCAGUGAGGUUUCAUUCCCCAUCUCCUAACUACAGGAAGCUCUGCGAUGCCAUUCAGACCUUCCUUAACCCAGGGCCUAUUGCCUGUGGGGGAGCUACUCCCAGAGUGAUUUAGUGGGAGAGUGUCAGAGAAUGAGACAGUUUGCCUCAUGGGACAACCCAGAAUCUGAUCACCAAGACAUAGGAAUGGCCCCAACAGAUUUCUUGAGCCAUUUUGUCACUUGGAAGAAAAUAGUAUAUCUUCAUAUUUAUUUAAAGAGUGCUCCAGGCCAAACCUAAUAGCAAUAAAUAGGUUGAGCCAAGCUGUCACCGGCUCUGACACUAGCUGGGAGUGCUCUCUAUAAGCUGUUGAAGGUACUGAUAGGAAUGUUUUGUUCUUAAUAUUGAUUGGGGAUUGGAACUUUGUUCUUGUACAUUUCUUUCAAAUGAGGAGGAGGUCAUUUUUCUUAAAAAAAUGAAUAUUUAUUAUGUCUUACUGAUUUCUUUGAUUAUAUACCUCUCCUUCUCAGUUCAUUCUCAUGUUUUCUCCCCUUUCUUUUUGGUUUUGGCUUCUGCGCUCACUCCUUUCUUAUUGUGCUGCAUAGGUAGUGUGUUGUAUGACUAGCAUUGUAUUGUAUGUAAUUAAUUUUGCACAAAGGCGAACAUUUAGCAUAGUAGGUUAAUUUUGUUUGUUUUUAUGACCAUGCCAAAAUAAUAUUCUGGGCUGGUGGAGAACAAAGGACUGUUCUUUAGGACUGAAACUUGAUUUUGCUUGUAGUAAGAAAAAAAAAAAAACAACACACACACUCACAGAUGUUGUUUCGUAAGUGUUAUAAGCACUGGAUAUAAAUGGUAUUUUUUAUCACUUCUGACUAAUGUGAAACUGUUGUACGAAAACUACACGAACAAAAGUCAUCUGUUUCGACUCGUGUGGGCUUGCCUCACAGUUGCCGGAUUUGAGUCAUUUUUAUGUCUUGUUAUUUCAUUUAUUUAUGCAAAAUACAUGUGUGUAUGAACACUUUGUUUUAGCUCCAGCUCUGCCUCAGUACUGGGGGUGCAGUAACUUCUAGCCAUUUUCUUAAAAAUGAAAGGCUAUUCAGGAAUGAUCUGAUUGUAAACGCCUCUUUCUUUGGCUCAGACAGUAAUGCUGUAUUAGAAUCUAAAUUUUGUGCAUAUGAAGUUUAUUCUAUUUAUUAGCCAAGUUUGGCUCUAAAUAUUCAUGGAAAUUAAGGAUGACAAUCAUCGGGAUCACUUCAUUAUAUUUCAGUGGGGCUUAAACAAAGUUUUUAUGACUUUACCAUCUCAUUUUAGAGUUUUCUAAUUGUGUAAAUAUAACAUAGAAAUAGAAUUUAUUUUUGGUUCAUGAGUACUUAGUGAGUGAUAAGUUAUGUAUUUCUUUUUUGUUCUCUAUCCAUAUGUGUUGAUCCAAACUAGAAGUUGACGAGUCACUGUACUUGCUGGGGACAGUGAAUUAUCAGCUACAGUGAGGGCAGCAUUCAUCCUGCAGCUAGGCCAGCUAAGCCCUACACUCGGGUUCUUAUUCAGUUUUGAGCCCGCUGUCCACAGACUCAGACUUUUCCCUUUUUUCCUUAUAGAAAGUAGAUGAAUUGAACAUAGUAAAUUUCCAGUACAUCUAGGAGAGAGUCAAUUUGCUUUGUGAACCCACACGAACCUUCUAAGAUAGUUCUUGUGACCAUUUAAUAGUAAGAAGCAUAAUGACAUUUUAAAGGCAAAAAUCUGCCUCUGUGAUUGGCCAUGAAUAAUGUCGCACCAUGCCAGUUAAAGCAUGUUGUCACCUUUUUUCAGUGCUCCCUACUUGAUGGUAUCUUCAAGUCAAAGGUAAAAAUUAUCUCCAUUUAAUUUAAAAGCAUACAAGACCAGGGUUUUCUUUGUCGUUUGUGAUAGGGACACUGGUAGACAAUCCUUUCCUUAAAAAAAACAAAAAAACAGGCCAUAUAGAAUAGGAAGGACGAGAAGGAAGGAAGAAAGGAUGGAAGGAAAGAAGGGAGAGAAAGGAAAGUUCAUCUGCGGACAUGAGCAGCCAGCCUGGCAAUUUCUCUACUUCAGGCAGUGUCCUUUGCAGGAAGGUGUGGAAGCUCUGUUGUUUUCAUGAGGACCCAGCUCAGCCUUUCAGGAGCACAUCAGUUUGCUUCAUUUGGUAUUUGAUACUCUGCAGCCUUGUGCUGGGGCCUGGUUUGAUUUGCCAGGGUCCUGACACAGACUCCCAGACCAAGUUCUAAAUUCAGAUGUGGGCUCACAGUGCUAGUGAGCUGGUCAAAUUUUGGCCUUCCCUGGACAUAAGCGCCCUGGGAGCCUGGGAUGUUUGAAAAGGGUGUGAUCUCUCUAGGGCUGAAAUUAAAGGCUGCUUUCUUUGCCUUAUGAAGCCAUGAUGCUUCUUUGGAGCACACCCUCCUGAGCCAGGAGCACAGGGCUGGCUGAAAGCAGAGAUUGUUUCAGGGAAGCCCAUCUGCCCUCAGCAGGAAGGCAGCCUGGAACUUGAACACCACUGCCCAGGCUGCUGCUCUUGAUUUACUUAUUUUGCAAAGAGUUGACCUCUACCAACUCAUUAGGGAAAGGAAAAAGAAUCAGUUCGUAGUUUUAAACCAUUCAAGAAGUCCUAUACCAAGUGCCAACAACUGCAGAGGAAUGCAGCUAGAGGAAUGUAUUGAAGUUAUUAAUGGGUCUUCCUUUUUAAUGAGAACGUGGCAAAAAUGGUUGCUGUAGCCUUGCCUGAUGUCAUGCUCGUUUAUCCAAGGAUUGAGUUGGCACUUAAGCUCACUUCUCAAAAUAUAAUAAUAUCAUAUGACCUCAUUUGUCCUUCUACAAAAGCACUUGCAUCAUUUCCUUAAGUCAUCUGCCCCCUGAUGUGUUUUCCUCCUCAAUAAACAACUUCUGUUACUUCUGCCGAUCAUGUUCUGUUUCUGAUGCCACAUGCUAUGGAACGUGCCCCUGUGCUGAUAAUCAUUAAAAAUAUUGAUAUGCAAAUACAUUUCCUUUUCAUCCCCAUCUCAUCUUUUCCUUUGGGGACAGAUUGCUUUCCAAAAGCUCAUGAACUAGUAUUCCGAAUGCUGGUACCUCCAGGGGCAGAGGGGAGGGUUGGGUGGGGUAGUGACAGAAAGGUCUUGCUUCCUGCAGAUACUCUUCCAAUCAGUGUCCGUGGCAAUAGGAACGCUUGAAGGCAACUCAGUGACACAUCUUGCUCAGUAGUUUCUUAUUCCUGAAGAACCACAAGCAUAAAGUGAGGCCUCAGUGCUGGUGCUCUUGGAGUAUGGGGAAUGUGCAAAUAUUUAACUGUUUUGUAUGCUGCACAUUGCAGAUCUGCUCAUGUGCAUUCUCCGUUUGUCUUCCUUUGUCAUGUGUGUUUUUGCUUUUUUGAAAGUGCAGUCUUUAUUGUACCCUUCUCCAGCUUGUAGCAAAUUAGAAUGCUUAGCAUUUAUGUUCAUUCAUUAUUGUAUUUGCCAUGUAAAAUUUUUAUUACCUUAGACAAGCUUAUAAGCUGUUACUACAUAACUUAUCUUACUGUAACUCUUUUUAUUUCCUGACAUUGUAAUUUGUUUGUGAUGUAUAUUGUGAGAUUGUAUUCUAUGUUAAUUUAAUCAGCACAAUUCACUGACAUGCUGGACUGACAUGCUGGCUGCUGUUUCGAAGUGUAAAGUUUGUGUAGGGCUGUUGGGACAACUGUAACUCUGUUGUCAAGGUACUGUGCUUUGGUUCCUAUAGCAACACUGUGGGUGUGACCCUUGAGACUCUAGGGACAUCUAAUACACCCUGGAGCAAAUUUUAACUGCAGAUUUUCUUUGUAGAAAUUCUAUGUAUAACACAGGUACCUACUUGGCCCAUGGCUGAUAACUAUUUGGGCAAUUAGAAAAAAACAAAAAACCCAUAAAAACUAGUGUCUAUUGCUGCUUUGAAUAUGUUUGAAAGUCUGAAAAUGUAAAUAGUUUAUCAAAAAAAAAAAUCUUGUACAGUCCAGUGUAAAGUUUUUAAAUGACCUUAAGGGUUGCCAUCACAUCUUUCUCACACUCUCCUCUUGAUAAUGAAAAAAAAAAAAAGUUCGCUAAGGAUUCAAGAAAUGGAAAAAAAAAAGAGAAUCUCUUCAAAUUUAAAGGAAUGGAUCAUUGUUCUUAGCUUUGUUGCAUACACAAACCUCUUGGAUUUUGUUGUGCAGUAUUGACGUGAGAUAAAACUCAACUCAUUGAAUAAUCUUUCAGUGGUACUUUUCCAAGUCUUCCCCUCCUCUGCCUCAUAAUUAAGGGAAAAGACAAAAUUGAAAGACGCACUCUGUCUAUCCUGGUGUAUGUUGGCACCUUAGCUACUUUUUUUUUUUUCAUUUUUGCACAAGGUGCUUUCCUGAUCUGUCAGACAUGCCAUCCUUGGGUGAUAAUGUAUAUGCCAUGAUGGGCUCAGGCCCGCAGGGGAGUGUCUAUAAGAACUGCCUAUUUAUGCUCAUUUACCUCAAGACUGUCCUCUCUACCCUAAUCUAGUUGUCAUCACUCCAUCUUUUGUACUGCUGUUGACACUUACCAAUUAAAGAUAAAUUUUGUUUUAUGA
rnacentral:lncRNA from 1 species